rnacentral:antisense_RNA from 1 species
GCACACCCCAGCGGCUCCUCCACACGGAGAGAUGGUGUCAGUCAAAGGCCGUCUAGAUGACGAGUUUAUGAAAUUGUUCCUGGCCCGUGCCGGGCACGACCUUGCAGAGAGCCCAGAAGAUGAAACCCCAGCCCUGCCAGGAGCUCACCUGCUAAUUAGGAGGACAACGAAUCACCUCACCUCCCUAGACUUUGCUUCUCCUUUAUUCAGUGAGGGAUUGGACUAGCUGGUCCUUAAGGACUUUUCAGAAAGUCUGGUUCUGGGAGAUGACCAAUGGGAUCAUCUUAUGCUAUAAGCUUUCCUGGAAUGACAGGUAAUGGAGAGUGAGGAGAUUUUACCUGAUAUGGUCCUGUUUGCACCAUCAGCCAGCAACCUUUCUGGGAAGCAUGCUUAUUAUGUACCAACAUAGAAGCUUGAAUAUAAGGUAUGCAGUCCCAAUUUCCUGAUCUCAGAUUGAAAUGUUCAAGCUGUAUAACAUUAAAUUCAAAGAACCA